rnacentral:rRNA from 1 species
GACGAACGCUGGCGGCGUGCCUAAUACAUGCAAGUAGAACGCUGAAGCUUGGUGCUUGCACCGAGCGGAUGAGUUGCGAACGGGUGAGUAACGCGUAGGUAACCUGCCUGGUAGCGGGGGAUAACUAUUGGAAACGAUAGCUAAUACCGCAUAAGAGUAGAUGUUGCAUGACAUUUGCUUAAAAGGUGCAAUUGCAUCACUACCAGAUGGACCUGCGUUGUAUUAGCUAGUUGGUGAGGUAACGGCUCACCAAGGCAACGAUACAUAGCCGACCUGAGAGGGUGAUCGGCCACACUGGGACUGAGACACGGCCCAGACUCCUACGGGAGGCAGCAGUAGGGAAUCUUUGGCAAUGGACGGAAGUCUGACCGAGCAACGCCGCGUGAGGGAAGAAGGGUUUCGGAUCGGAAAGCUCUGUUGUAAGAGAAGAACGAGUGUGAGAGUGGAAAGUUCACACUGUGACGGUAUCUUACCAGAAAGGGACGGCUAACUACGUG